rnacentral:rRNA from 1 species
CCUACGGGUGGCUGCAGUGGGGAAUAUUGCACAAUGGGGGAAACCCUGAUGCAGCGACGCCGCGUGAGUGAAGAAGUAUUUCGGUAUGUUAAGCUCUAUCAGCAGGGAAGAAAAUGACGGUAUCUGAUUAAGAAGCCCCGGCUCACUACGUUCCAGCAGCCGCGGUAAUACGUAGGGGGCAAGCGUUAUCCGGAUUUACUGGGUGUAAAGGGAGUGUAGACGGCAGCACAAGUCUGUAGUGAAAUGCCGGGGUUUAACCCCGGAAGUGCUUUGGAAACUGUGCAGCUAGAGUUGAGGAGAGGUAGGUGGAAUUCGUGGUGUAGCGGUGAAAUGCGUAGAUAUCAGGAAGAACACCAGUGGCGAAGGCAGCUUACUGGACUGUAACUGACGCUGAGGCUCGAAAGCGUGGGGAGCAAACAGGAUUAGAUACCCUUGUAGUC